rnacentral:rRNA from 1 species
GACGAACGCUGGCGGCGUGCUUAACACAUGCAAGUCGAACGGAAAGGCCCUGCUUUUGUGGGGUGCUCGAGUGGCGAACGGGUGAGUGACACGUGAGUAACCUGCCCUUGACUUUGGGAUAACUUCAGGAAACUGGGGCUAAUACCGGAUAGGAGCUCCUGCUGCAUGGUGGGGGUUGGAAAGUUUCGGCGGUUGGGGAUGGACUCGCGGCUUAUCAGCUUGUUGGUGGGGUAGUGGCUUACCAAGGCUUUGACGGGUAGCCGGCCUGAGAGGGUGACCGGUCACAUUGGGACUGAGAUACGGCCCAGACUCCUACGGGAGGCAGCAGUGGGGAAUAUUGCACAAUGGGCGGAAGCCUGAUGCAGCAACGCCGCGUGCGGGAUGACGGCCUUCGGGUUGUAAACCGCUUUCGCCUGUGACGAAGCGUGAGUGACGGUAAUGGGUAAAGAAGCACCGGCUAACUACGUG